rnacentral:misc_RNA from 1 species
AGUCAUUGCAGCAGUGUGCAUCUGCCAUCUCUGAAUUAGUACGUGAAAAGAUGGAGGUAGGUAGGCAACUGGAAGCAUUCUCGAUACAACUGGUUAUUCUUGCAAUUUGGAAGCAAGCACUUCAUAUUUGCCACACAGAGGCCGCCUCAGCUAUUGAAGGAAGUCCAAGCCAAGAGAGCCCAAGGUUGAGGCGAAGCAGCGACAAGAAACAUGGGACUCCUGAUACAGAAGACGGUGCUGAUGUUGGGCCAGAGAAUAUCUCCACUCAGAUUGAGAGGGAGUUUUUAAGGGAAGUUGAACAUGCUGAGGAACUCGCCAAGGCUAUUGAACCUGGAAAUAUCGAGAUGCCUGAUGCCAUGGAGACAAUAUUUCAAUCUGCCCUUGCUCUGGGAAAACUUGGAGGAGUUGCGGAGCUCAUGCGUGAAAUGGAAAGUGCAUCUUUCUUAUAUUCAAAAGCAGUACGCUUGUUUGUCUUCCUUCUUGCGGAAGCACCAUCCCUCAUUUUCAAUCCUCCAUUUUCUCUCACAAACUCAGAUCGAUAUAGACUCCGUACAUAUAUUCAUAUCCUUAAUAAUAGGCAGGGCCAUUCAGUCUCAAAGGAUGGCACUUCUCAAUGCGAUGAAUAACAAUGUCCUCCCUAGGAUAUUAAAGUUUUUACACUGUUACCUAUUGUCUUGAUUACGUUUGCCAUGUAAAAUUGUUUUUUUGUACAGCUAUUCUUUUAGAUUCUGGGAUUGGGAUAUUGUCAUAGGUCAACCUGUGUAUUUAGGGGAGGGUGUUGUAAUAUUCUCAUUUAAUGUGAUUCAGGGAACGAUGGCCUUAAAAAAAAAAAAAAAGGAUGGAUGAAAGAAAGAUCUGAAGAACGAAGCAAUGUGCAUAAGUUUUGCAUUGGAUAAGCUUUCUGUUGGCAGCUUUGCUUCAAUGGUUAUAGAGAUCAAAUAAUCUCCAUAUCAUCAAAUUAGUCG